AAGUCGUAACAAGGUAUCCGUAGGUGAACCUGCGGAUGGAUCAUUAUCACGUAUCCACGUAUCAACCAUUGUGAACUGUUCUAACCUUUGAGAAGAGUUUGUGAAUAACGAGGUUAUAAAGGGGGUGGAAACAUCAACUCUAUAUCCAUCGGCUUCUCAAAGCGUAUUUUAUCACAAAUAUUAACAACUUAAACCUAAACUUAUAUAACUUUUGACUUAUUUAUUUCUUACUCUUCGGAGAAGAAAUUUCAUUACGAAACAUAAGAACAACUCUUAGCAACGGAUAUCUUGGUUCUC
rnacentral:misc_RNA from 1 species